AGUAACGCGUAGGUAACCUGCCUUGUAGCGGGGGAUAACUAUUGGAAACGAUAGCUAAUACCGCAUAACAAUGGAUGACACAUGUCAUUUAUUUGAAAGGGGCAAUUGCUCCACUACAAGAUGGACCUGCGUUGUAUUAGCUAGUAGGUGAGGUAAUGGCUCACCUAGGCGACGAUACAUAGCCGACCUGAGAGGGUGAACGGCCACAUUGGGACUGAGACACGGCCCAGACUCCUACGGGAGGCAGCAUG
rnacentral:rRNA from 1 species